CAUGUGCACGCUCUGUUCACACAUCCACUCACACCCUGUGCACCCUCUGUAGUUCUAUGGUCAGGGGGCCUGUCCUCCUGCUGUGGUUCUGCAUCUUUACACACACGCCGUAACAAAGUCUCAUGGAAUGCAUGUCGCGUUUAACGCAAUACAAUACAACUUUUAGCAACGGAUCUCUUGGCUCUCGCAUCGAUGAAGAACGCAGCGAAAUGCGAUAAGUAAUGUGAAUUGCAGAAUUCAGUGAAUCAUCGAAUCUUUGAACGCACCUUGCGCCCUUUGGCCAUUCCGAAGGGCAUGCCUGUUUGAGUAUCAUGAACACCUCAACUCAUCGUGGUUUUCCAUGAUGAGCUUGGACUUUGGGGGUUUUGCUGGCCUACAGUCGGCUCCUCUAAAAUAAAUCAGCUUACCGGUGUUUGGUGGGUAUCAUGGGUGUGAUAACUAUCUACGCUUGUGGUUUUUCCACCAGGUAACCUUCAGCAGUGAAGGUUCACUGGAGCUCAUA
rnacentral:rRNA from 1 species